UACACACGGAUAACAUACCGAAAGGUAUGCUAAUACGGGAUAAUAUAUUUGAGAGGCAUCUCUUAAAUAUCAAAGGUGAGCCAGUACAGGAUGGACCCGCGUCUGAUUAGCUAGUUGGUAAGGUGACGGCUUACCAAGGCGACGAUCAGUAGCCGACCUGAGAGGGUGAUCGGCCACAUUGGAACUGAGACACGGUCCAAACUCCUACGGGAGGCAGCAGUGGGGAAUAUUGCACAAUGGGCGAAAGCCUGAUGCAGCAACGCCGCGUGAGUGAUGAAGGCCUUCGGGUCGUAAAACUCUGUCCUCAAGGAAGAUAAUGACGGUACUUGAGGAGGAAGCCCCGGCUAACUACGUGCCAGCAGCCGCGGUAAUACGUAGGGGGCUAGCGUUAUCCGGAUUUACUGGGCGUAAAGGGUGCGUAGGCGGUCUUUCAAGUCAGGAGUGAAAGGCUACGGCUCAACCGUAGUAAGCUCUUGAAACUGGGAGACUUGAGUGCAGGAGAGGAGAGUGGAAUUCCUAGUGUAGCGGUGAAAUGCGUAGAUAUUAGGAGGAACACCAGUUGCGAAGGCGGCUCUCUGGACUGUAACUGACGCUGAGGCACGAAAGCGUGGGGAGCAAACAGGAUUAGAUACCCUGGUAGUCCACGCUGUAAACGAUGAGUACUAGGUGUCGGGGGUUACCCCCUUCGGUGCCGCAG
rnacentral:rRNA from 1 species